rnacentral:lncRNA from 1 species
AUUUUUGGGAGUAGUCUUGAGCACCGAAUUGGGGACACGAGUUCAUAUUAAACUCAACUCUCCAUAAGAACCAUGCGCCAACAUGGGAUUAAACGGAUCAUACUUUUUAGAUGAUCACGUAAAGUUAAGCUAGUGGAUCCACUUAGUAAAGUUAGCUUCCUAUAUCACGGCAAGGUAUAGGAUGGUCCUUGGGCAACGUGAGGUAAAACGUUGUA